rnacentral:lncRNA from 1 species
AUGCGCUGCUUCUCGUCCCGUCCUCUCCGUGCGGCUCGGCGCCGUGCCCGUCCCCCCGCCCUGACCCCUCUGCCUUUCAUCUCUUCCAGUAGCUUGGUUCUCCUUCGACCCUUCGUCCGCCCACGCCGACAUCAUCUUCUCCAACGACAACCUGACCGUCACCUGCAACAGCUACGACGACAGGGUGGUGCUGGGCAAGACGGGCUUCUCCAAAGGGCUCCACUACUGGGAGCUCUCCAUCGACCGCUACGACAACCACCCCGACCCAGCUUUCGGCGUGGCUCGCGUCGACGUGCUGAAGGAUGCCAUGCUGGGCAAGGACGACAAGGCCUGGGCCAUGUACGUGGACAACAACCGCAGCUGGUUCAUGCACAACAACUCGCACACCAACAGAACCGAGGGCGGCAUAACGAAAGGCGCCACGGUGGGCGUGCUGCUGGAUUUGACCAGGAGGACCCUGACCUUCUCCAUCAACGAGGACCAGCAAGGGCCCGUGGCCUUCGAGAACCUGGAGGGCCUCUUCUUCCCCGCCGUCAGCCUCAACAGGAACGUGCAGGUGACGCUGCACACCGGGCUGCCCGUCCCCGAAUUCUACGCCUCGCGCUCGGCCAUGCAGUGAGGCAGCUCCCCGGGGCCGGCUGCCUCUGCUCGGGGCCAGAGGAGCCAGCCCGCUCCCUUGUGCGGCACCAGAGGCCUCUGCUCGACGGGGGAGGCGGAAGAAAAACACAAAAAAAAACGUGAAAAACACAAAAAAAAAAAAGGGCAGGAAGAAACUGGCUUUCGGCAGUCUUCGUUCGCCACCCGCCUGCGCUGUCCUGUGUGUGUGCGCUUCGCUCCUUCGCUCUUGGCUGAUCCACUAUAGCUAGGUAGCCCGAGGUGUUGCUCCGUGUCCGCUUUUAGGUUCGGUUUUCCUCAUUUUGGUUAAGGUCCCGGGGGUGGGGGGGGAGGCAGAUUUGUCUCGUUUCAGAGGGCCGAGCUGCAGGACGGGGCCGGCCGCACGGCGGGGAGAGGGACCCCCCCCGGGAAGGCUUUCGCCCCUCCGGUCCCACGGCUUUGCAGGGUCCCGUGGCUUUGCAGGGUCCCACGGCUUUGCAGGACGUUUCUUUCCCCGUGGCCUUUCUCUCAGAGCACCUCAAACACCCCUCGAGGUGGGGCCUGGAUGUCCAGCGGGUCCUGGGAACCCCCAUGCGCCCGCCCGCCUCGCCCCCAUCUUGCUGCAGCUCCCCCCGCACGCAGCGGGACCCCCCCAGGAGCAGGGGAUUGGCGUGGAUCAUUAACACGGGGCGUUAAUUAACGCCACCGGACGCGUCCCACCGCCCCCCAAAGCAAGCACCCACCCUGUGCCCCCCCUUUCUCCCCCCCGGCUCCCCGCGGAGCGGCGCAGCCAGCACCCCACAGCCAUACGCCGCGCAGCUCCUGGGAGAGGAGCUCUUUAUUUUUUUACACUUUCCGGAUAAAAAAACCUCGCCUUAACUACCCGACAGCCUCCUUCCCUUCCCCGGAGAGCCCCUCCUGCAGCGAGGAGCCGAUGGGGGGCACGGGGACGGGGAAGAGAGGACGGGGAGCUGCCCGCAGCCCUGCCGCGCACUCAGGGACCCGUGCCCGCCGCCCGCUGCCCUCUCCUCUCCUCUCCCAACCACCCCCGUGCCCCUCGCUGGUGAUUUGGGGGGGGCAGGAGAGGAGCUGGUGGCCACCAGCCCGCUGCCAGCACGUGCCCCUCGCACCGAGGGCGACUGCAUGCGCUUGUCCCCACGCUUGGCUCCCCCGUCCUUUCCGCGGUGCCGGUUUCGCUGCCCGGCGUUCGGUGGCACAGCCACAGCCCCCGGUCCCUCGCCCCCACCCCGGGGCCGCAGGAGGCCCUGUCCGUGGGUCCUUCCCCUCCGGGACGGUGCCGUUCGUUCGUUCCCUCGUGGCUCUAGGAUCACACUGAGCUAAUUUAUUGCAGGGGUGCUAAUCUCCUCCUUUCCCCUCCGACGGCGUUUUCUCAGCUGCAGGAGAGCCGUGUUGCGGGCCAACGCCGAGCAGCUUUUUGGUUAAUUAAUUCCCCACCAGCCCCCCCAAAAACCCUCCCCGUGGCCGGGUCACGGGGCCCAUUUCUCAGCCCUUUUCCCCGUUUUUCCCCCCAACCAACCCAUUCUUUAGGAUGUUCACGGUGCUUAUUAGACUCCUCGUGGUUGUAAGACGUCGCCCCCACUGUAGCGCGGUGAUAGCUGCCUCCAGCUGCUGUACCCCCCAAAAAAAAGUGUCAUGUUUGCUGUUCUAAUAAAGGACUUUUACCAGAGAAGGGCAGAGCUUCCCGGAGCAUCUCUGCGCCGCCGCAGCCCCCCACAUCCACCUCGUCCCCCACCCCGGGGCACCGCACACCCUUGCAGCCCCCAAAACCCAACGGCACCGUGCCAAAUCCUAAAGGAUCCAAGCACCAGCCCUCCCCAAAUAUCCUUCCCCGAGCCUUUCCCUCUCCAAGCACACCCACGGGGGAGUUAUUUCGGAAAUGCUGGCACCCAGCCAGCCCCUGCCCUGGUGCCAAAUUUUGGCAAAGAUGGGUGGAAAAGACAGAAAAUAACCAAGAAAUAAAGUGAUUUCGGGAAAUUCAAGUGGGAGCCCAGCGCCCAGGGCACCACGGAUGCAGGAACCCAUAAUUUGGGGUGGGGGAGCCCCUGGGGGGCCGGGGGCAGCACCCAAAGGCGAGGGCAGAGCCCCCUGUGGGGCCCAGCACCCCCUGCACAGCCCCGCAGCCCUUCUCCAGGCACCCAAAUUCACCGUGCCCGAGCUCCCACCCAAUAAUCCUGUAAAAAAAAUAAAAUAAAAAAUAAAAUCAGGGUGGUUUCCCGUGCCGCACGCAGCAGCGGGUUUGGUUUUUCUCUCCUUUCUGCCCUGCCUGGGCAGGGAAAACGCCCGAGAAGCCUGCGCAGAGCUGGGGGGAGGAAGAGGAAGAGGAGUUGCGCUGCUCGCCCAGCGCUGGGCACUGGCUCUCCGGAAGAAACGCGGGCAGGAGCCGGUGGGGCACGGCAGGACACGGGGACAGGAGGUGCUGAGGGGGGCCUGGAGCUGAGUGAGGAAGGGGAGAAAGAAAAGGGGUUCAGGGGAAGGGGAGACAGGACAGGGGGUGCAGGGAAAGGGGGUGCAGAGGAAGGCGAGCAGGAAAAGGGGGUGCAAGGGAGGGGGAAUUGCGAAAGGGGCGCAGGGGAAGGGGGUUGGGGCAGCGCCCCAGCAGCGCGGCGCUUCCCCUUUGGGACCGGAGGCGGUGCUGCCCGCCCCAUUCCCCACCUCCCUUCCCCCAAAUCGGUUCCUCCCCCGGCCUGCCGGUGCCUCCCCCCUCCCCUCCCACCCCNNNNNNNNNNCCCGUGGCCGCGGCGCCCGCCCCACGCGUGGGCGGCCCCGGGGCGGUGCCGGCGGAGCGCGCUCGGUGCGCGCUGCCAGCCCCGUCCCUGUCUGUGUCUGUGUGUGUCUGUGUCCCCGCAGUGUCCCCCUGUGUGUCCCCCCGUGUCCCCUUGUGUCCCCCCGUGUCCCCCCGUGGUGUCCCCGUGUCCCCCCGGUGGUGUCCCCGCGGUCC